rnacentral:rRNA from 1 species
UUAAAAUCUUUAGCGUACAGUUAAAGAAUUGUAAUCUUGAGGUGCGAUCGGAAGUCAUGGAGGAAGCAUAAGUUGGUUGAAAAACCGCGCCAAAGAGGGUGAAAGCCCCGUAGUAGGCGUCCUCCUAGACGUACGAAAGUAACCACAGAGUCGGGUUGUUUGGGAAUGCAGCCCUAAAUGGGAGAUAAACUUCUUCUAAAGCUAAAUACAAACGGGAAACCGAUAGCGAACAAGUACUGCGAAGGAAAGAUGAAAAGAACUUUGAAAAGAGAGUUAAAAGACUUGAAACCGUUGAGAAGGAAGCGGUAGAAGAGCAAUUAAUCGACCGGGCUGUUGUGACUAGAGUACGGUAACUGCGGUAGAGAGUGACGUCAAAGCACUUGAAUCGUAAGUGAACCGGACUCAGGAACUUUUUCACGGUCGAAAGGCAAAAUGAGGUCCACGCUGCCGGAAUCACUACCCACUAGAUCUGUGGAAUAGAAAACGGCAGACGGGCCUGAGGGACACUUAUGUGAUUUUGCCAAAAUGGCUUCUACUGACCCGUCUUGAAACACGGACCAAGGAGUCUAUCCAAUAUGCGAGUCUUAGGGUGGAAAAACCCGAAGGCGUACCGAAAGGGAGUAAAAGGUACGAUCCCGCAAGGGAGCAGUAUCGACCAACCUUGAGUUUCUACGAAGGGCUUGAGUAAGAGCAUAUUUGAUAGGACCCGAAAGAUGGUGAACUACGCUCGAGUAGGGUGAAGCCAGGGGAAACUCUGGUGGAAGCUCGCAGC